GUAACAAGGUCUCCGUAGGUGAACCUGCGGAGGGAUCAUUACACAAAUAUGAAGGCGGGCUGGAACCUCUCGGGGUUACAGCCUUGCUGAAUUAUUCACCCUUGUCUUUUGCGUACUUCUUGUUUCCUUGGUGGGUUCGCCCACCACUAGGACAAACAUAAACCUUUUGUAAUUGCAAUCAGCGUCAGUAACAAAUUAAUAAUUACAACUUUCAACAACGGAUCUCUUGGUUCUGGCAUCGAUGAAGAACGCAGCGAAAUGCGAUAAGUAGUGUGAAUUGCAGAAUUCAGUGAAUCAUCGAAUCUUUGAACGCACAUUGCGCCCUUUGGUAUUCCAAAGGGCAUGCCUGUUCGAGCGUCAUUUGUACCCUCAAGCUUUGCUUGGUGUUGGGCGUCUUGUCUCUAGCUUUGCUGGAGACUCGCCUUAAAGUAAUUGGCAGCCGGCCUACUGGUUUCGGAGCGCAGCACAAGUCGCACUCUCUAUCAGCAAAGGUCUAGCAUCCAUUAAGCCUUUUUUUCAACU
rnacentral:rRNA from 1 species